UUCCGGUUGAUCCCGCCGGACCUGACUGCUAUCGGAUUGAUACUAAGCCAUGCGAGUCAUUGUAGCAAUACAAGGCAGACGGCUCAGUAACGCGUAGUCAACCUACCCUAUGGACGGGGAUAACCUCGGGAAACUGAGAAUAAUACCCGAUAGAACAUUAUACCUGGAAUGGUUUAUGUUUCAAAUAAUUUAUUGCCGUAGGAUGGGACUGCGGCCUAUCAGUUUGUUGGUGAGGUAAUGGCCCACCAAGACUAUUACAGGUACGGGCUCUGAGAGGAGUAGCCCGGAGAUGGGUACUGAGACACGGACCCAGGCCCUAUGGGGCGCAGCAGGCGAGAAAACUUUGCAAUGUGCGAAAGCACGACAAGGUUAAUCUGAGUGGUUUCUGCUAAAGGAACCUUUUGCCAGUCCUAGAAACACUAGUGAAUAAGGGGUGGGCAAGUUCUGGUGUCAGCCGCCGCGGUAAAACCAGCACCUCAAGUGGUCAGGAUGAUUAUUGGGCCUAAAGCAUCCGUAGCCUGCUUUGCCAGUUUUCGGUUAAAUCCAUACGCUUAACGUAUGGGCUGCCGGAAAUACUACAAAGCUAGGGAGUGGGAGAGGUAGACGGUACUCGGGAGGAAGUGGUAAAAUGCUUUGAUCUCUCGAUGACCACCUGUGGCGAAGGCGGUCUACCAGAACACGUCCGACGGUGAGGGAUGAAAGCUGGGGGAGCAAACCGGAUUAGAUACCCGGGUGGUCCCAGCUGUAAACUAUGCAAACUCGGUGAUGCAUUGGCUUGAUGCCAAUGCAGUGCCGCAGGGAAGCCGUUAAGUUUGCCGCCUGGGAAGUACGUACGCAAGUAUGAAACUUAAAGGAAUUGGCGGGGGAGCACCACAAGGGGUGAAGCCUGCGGUUCAAUUGGAGUCAACGCCGGG
rnacentral:rRNA from 1 species